rnacentral:rRNA from 1 species
ACUCCUACGGGAGGCAGCAGUAGGGAAUCUUCCACAAUGGACGAAAGUCUGAUGGAGCAACGCCGCGUGAGUGAAGAAGGGUUUCGGCUCGUAAAACUCUGUUGUUAAAGAAGAACAUAUCUGAGAGUAACUGUUCAGGUAUUGACGGUAUUUAACCAGAAAGCCACGGCUAAACUACGUGCCAGCAGCCGCGGUUAAUACGUAGGUGGCAAGCGUUGUCCGGUAUUUAUUGGGCGUAAAGCGAGCGCAGGUCGGUUUUUAAGUCUGAUGUGAAAGCCUUCGGCUCAACCGAAGAAGUGCAUCGGAAACUGGGAAACUUGAGUGCAGAAGAGGACAGUGGAACUCCAUGUGUAGCGGUGAAAUGCGUAGAUAUAUGGAAGAACACCAGUGGCGAAGGCGGCUGUCUGGUCUGUAACUGACGCUGAGGCUCGAAAGUAUGGGUAGCAAACAGGAUUAGA